GGUUCUGGUGGGUUUCCGCCCGGUGCGGCAGCGGCGCGGGUAGGGGAGCUCCUUGUUGCCGCCGAGGACGGGCCGCGGGUUGCCGCUGUCAGGCAGGCCGAGGUCGUUGUAGACGUCGUAGCGGUAGACGCGGUCAUGCUCCUUGUACGGGCCUUGCUGGUCGUCGCCCCUCAGGUUCCGGAGCUCGUCGUCGCGGUAAGGCUUGAGCGCCGCCGGCAUCUGGCUGGGCAGGUACGUCUGUUCGUGCAGAGAGGAGAGAAUUCAUGUCAAGAGACUCUGCUCAGAUCCUUGGUUUGCUGACGAACAUUGGAAUAAUGGGCGGCGCGCUACUCACGUCGUUGGAGAAGAAGACGCGGUUGUAGCGGUACUUGGACUGCGGGUAGAUCCAUGAGUUGGCGACGAAGACGACGGUGCCGUGGCCGGGGACGUCGUCGAGGGUGAUGGUCUUGAGGAAGAACUCGGAGGCGUGGUUGUUCUUGACGAUGAUGGCGCCUGGAAUGCCCUGCUUCUCCACCUCCCAGUCGAAGGUGACGUGGAACUUGUUCUCGCCGGACAGAAGCGGCGGCGGGUUCAGCAGCCACUUCUCCAGGCUCGCCUCCGCGCCCACCUUCCCGCGGUUGCCAUUGUCUGCACGCGCGCGCCACAGUACCAUGGAUUCAGAGUCCCACAGACGACCAACGUGUAAAAUGUGCGCUCCUAAUAUGUUAAUAAAAAGCAUUAUCCGAUCUUUUUUUUGCCUAGAUCCGGUUUACUAUACUAAUAAGUAGAUUUAAAGUGGAUUGAUCUUCGUUUUCGUCAUAUUAUAUUGUUUUUGAAAACGACAUUUUUUUUCACUCUGUUGUUAGUUGUUACUGAUGCAUGCAAGAGAACUGAGAGGGAGAGAAUUAAGGAAGUCCGGCAGGGGAGGGAGGGUGCUGUCUGUGCUCACUGGGGUCGACGACGGUGGAGCUGAUAAGCUGGCAGGUGACGCCGCGUCCGAGGAACUCGCCAACGCCGUCGAGGAGGGAGCCGGCGAUGCUGGUGACGUCCAAGCCGAGCACGGUCUUGCGCACGAGCACCACGUUGCCCUUGAGCUGCGCAUGCUUGUUGCUGCCCGUGAUGUCUCCGAUUAUCUUUCCGAUCAUCUUCGGUUCUACCGGCGGAGCUAACUGCAAACUGCUACUUGUUCCUUGGAGUGGGAGUGGCUAGCAGCUGUGGGUAUUGGCUGUGUGAUGAGUGUGAGUGAGUGAUGGCUGAGCGGGCAGGCCAGCUAUUUAUAGAGCGGGAGACACAGCUGGUGGCUCAGGAAGAUAUAUUGAAGUCGUCGACUGUUAUUAGAAACAAAACGUGUAUCACGUUGCCGUGUUUGAACUACUCCGAUCCCACGGUAAAACAUAUAUACUUUCAUCAGAGAAAGUUAUGUUUUUGUAAAGCUUGACCAAUGUUUAGUAAAAGUAUUUGAGUUUGAGACUUAUAACUUGGAUCAAUAGAUCUGUGUUCGAAUGCCUUUAAAGUAAUAUUGGUUUUCUUUAGCAAUUGAUGAUAUAAUAAGAGAAAUUAAGGGUCGAAAUAUAUGUCAUUUCACUUUUGCAUGUCUAGUACAAACACAUAGUGGAUGUUGGUGAAACUUGUAAGACUAUCCCCACACAAAUAGCACAGAUGACUAGUUUCUUUCCAUUACAAUAUUCAGGUUUUUCUUGAAAAUAUUUUUCAUUUAUAGUUUUUUUGUUUCAUUGUAUCAUUUCUGUACAUACACCUGUUGCGUCUAUGGGCAUGAACUAUGUACAGAUAUCAUUGAUCAAUACCUUGGCUUAAACUUAUUAUCAUCUCUCUUAUCUUCCAUUUCUUCUCACUCCAGUCACAUGGCUAUACAAUUUCUAUCAAAGCCAAAUUAAGGUACUUGAUAAAACCAUGACUUAAGUCUUCUUGGCCCUCUUCUAAAUGUAAUUUUUGAACUAUCUUGUGCGUUUUUAUUAUGGAGUCAUGGUUACCUUUUUUUUUCGCGAUGCAACUCUGUCUAUUGGAGCCAGUACUACCUCAAGUAGUUGCAGACCAACCCUUUCAUUGCGCCAACAUCCAUCCGUGCCUCAAGUCUCUCCCCCCCCCCCCCCCCCCCCAAAAAAAAAAACCGUUGAACAAUCAUUGGUGAUCUACUGAGAUCAGGCAUGUAGCAUGUUACCCAUGCGCACUCUACAAGUCAUCGGAAAUGAUAUGACCACACCAUAUUUGUUUUCACUUAGGCCCUGUUUAGUUCUCCACCCAAAAAUUUUUCAUCCAUCCCAUCGAAUCUUUAGACACAUGCAUGGAACAUUAAAUGUAGAUAAAAAAAUAAACUAAUAACACAGUUUAGUUGAGAAUCGCGAGACGAAUCUUUUAAGCCUAGUUACUCCAUGAUUAGCCUUAAGUGCUACAGUAACCCACAUAUGCUAAUGAUAGAUUAAUUAUGCUUAAUAAAUUUGUCUUGCAGUUUCCUGACGAGCUAUGUAAUUUGUUUUUUUAUUAGUCUGUAAAAACCCCUCCCGACAUCCUUCCGACAUAUCCGAUGUGACAUUCAAAAAAUUUUCGUUCCCAAUCUAAACAGGCCCUUAUGACAACGUCUUGAGAAGAAAAAAAAGCUAAACGAUUUCUAUUGCGUUCCUCACGAGCUUCUCAUGCAUGAGUACGGAGGAGUAGUCAUAAUAUACAAGUAGGCGUUUGUCUUGUUAAAGUUUACUACUCGUCAUAUCGAAUGUUUGGACAUAUACAUGGAGUAUUAAAUAUAAACUAUUUACAAAAUUAAAAAGACAGCUGAAGAGUAAUUUGAGAGACGGAUCUUUUAACCCUAAUUAGUUCAUGAUUGAAUACUAAUUAUCAAAUAAGACAAAACUGCUACAGUACAUGUUAAACUUUAACAUCCCAACAAAACACCCCCUAGACCUAUUUCUCUCCAAGGUGACUGCCAUGAAAGUUAUCAGAUUGAAACAAUGAUGGUUGGAAUCGAUAAUUUGUUCGGUUAUUUUCAUUUCUAACAAUGCCAAUACUGAUGUAAAACUUAGUGGGUGUUUGGUUGAGUUGUUAAAGUUAACAGGUACUGUAACACUUUUAUGUUAUUUGACAAUUAGUGUCCAAUCAUGAACUAAUUAGGCUCAAAAGAUUCGUCCUGCAAAUUACUCUCUAGCUGUGUUUUUAGUUUCGUAAAUAGUCUAUAUUUAGUACUUCAUACAUAUAUUCAAAUAUUCAAUGUGACGGACGAUAAACUUUACCGUCUAUAACCAAACAAGCCCUUAUCAUUAGAAAGACUUGGAAAGAGCGACUCGGCGAGUAGACAUGUCGAGAUAGCAAUGCAUAGAACACCAGAUGUGGUGGAAGGUAAUGGGGGAGUGACAUGGGGAUUUAAAAUGCUUAAAAAAAAUCCUUGGCGUAUUAGUGUGUGACUUGGAUAGCUCACAUGCAUAUAUGCAAUCCUUCCCUUGGAUGAUCCUUGUAGUUUUCUUGUCUUUAUUUAUUGCCGUGACAAAAGUCCACAGUUUUAACUAAUUGAACUGUAAACUACUAUCUCUUUUCAAACCGCAUAAAUAACACAUAUAGAUACCUUAUUUUUGUUACAAUAUUUAAAUUGUUUACUUGAAAAUAAUUUGUUUUAGAUCAUUUUGUUUCUUUAUCUGUGUGUAUUGCUUCUUUCAUCAUGUGACCCCUCUCUUGUAUCCAUCAGCAAAAACCUCACAUGCCAUCGUUAAUCAAUUUUUUUUUGGUUAAAACUAGUCGACUUUCUCUCACCUUUUUUUAAUUCCUAUCUCAGUUUAUGUACUUCCAUCAAAUCAAGGUAACCUUUUGGAAACAAGCUUUAAGUUUUUUUUGGUAAACUUUAUUUUUUUAAUAAUUACAUUAUGUAGACCUCUUAUAAAUUAUUUACUUUCACCAUGUUUCUAAAGAAAGUCGUUUUGAGAUUGUCCUCGAGCAAGGGCACGUCGCCGGUGCCGCGGCUGUCCCACCUAUGGCAGUCCUCGAGCGAGUUCUGCGGCUCAUGGGCGUCGGCGGCACAACACCGUGCCUCGACGGUGGGGGCGCGGCGUUCAACUCCUCUGCCCGACACUGCUUCCGUGAACUCGCGCACGGUCACCAUUAGCUCCGGCGCCAGCUUGGCACCUACGGCCACCUCCGAGAAUCUUGUCGAACAUAGCUCGAAAGUUGGCGUCCUCGUCUACCUCGCCUCUGAGGUAAACAACAUCAUAAUCUGUGUUUACAAUUAAACUAUUGUGUUGAUUUUUUCAAAGAAAAAAACAUUGUGUUUGAAUCUAAUCUUCCAAUGGUGUAUUGAUUAAUUUCAGGUGCUGAUUCACUUUGCUUCCUUUUUGCUCGUUUGGAACGCUGCCAGGGACAACAAGAAGACGCGCAUCAUUCCCCACCACGGCGCCACGUGCUGGCGUGCUGCUGGCAAUCCAGUGAUCCACAAUGGCCCUGUUUGGAUACUCUAGCUCGGCUAGAAGUUAGAGUUAGUUUCUAGCUCAAGACUAGCCUUAAACUAGCUCUAGCCGAAGACAUGUUUGGAUGCAAGGGUUAGAAUGACAAUAUCUAAUCAUUUGACUCAUUUAAACCAUCUUUCUAUUCGGAUUUGGUGUGGCAGGCUCUCGUGUGGCCUCCCCCGCUUACAAAUGACACAAAUAAAUUAUUUUUACAAAUCAAGCAUCGAAACCAUAUUAAAUUUUAAAUUGUCCAUACAAAUGACAUGUCUCACACGAACUUACAAGUCCUCAAUCAAGUUAAACAAAAAAUUUUACACUCCAUGAAACAAAGCAUGAGCUAAUUCAUCACGGAAGGCAUUCAUGUUGACAUCUUCAAUAAGAGGUUCAUCUUCUGGCCAUGUUGAUGCCGCAGAACUAGGCAUUGGGUUAUAAUUUUCAUCCGCAUCACAGGCAGCAAAUUCUCUAUCCGCAAUUCUGCUCUCUCGAAUAAAAUUAUGAAUAGCCAUACAAGCAACAAUAAUUCUAGUUUGCUUCUCUUCUGAAAAUCUUGGCAUGUUCAACAUAAUCCUAAAUUUCAUCUUGAACACUCCAAAAGUUCGCUCAAUGACAUUUCUAACUUUGGCAUGUGCAUGGUUGAAGAUUUCUUUCAUACCUUGUUGAAAGGUCCUUGUUUAGUUUUGGUAAUUGAGUGACAACUUAGGUGGACUAAUAGUGUUUAUGUGAGAUACACAGGAGAUUAGUCCACAGGUGAUUUUGUGAUGAUGGAGGAGCUCAUUGCAUAUGAGACAUGACAUGGAGUCAUGUGACCGAGGUGGAGAAGAUCAAGAUGAGGCUUGGCUCGAUGGACCGGUUGCAAGAGUGAAGGGCAAGUCGGAGGCUUUGAAGCGAGGGACCGCGUGUGACGGUGAAGCUUGAGCAAGACUUGGCGCCGAUGGACCAAGGCAACGGUGAAGAGCAAGUGAGGUCAAGAUCGAUGAACCAAUACGGUCACGUGAUGAUAUGAAGUGGAUCAUAUCAUUUGGUGAUUGGUUGGUGCAUGUGUUGCAUCAACAUUAGAGGAGAUGGAAUGGAAAGCGCAAGGCAAAGGUAUAACCUAGGGCAUUUCCAUUUUACCGGUCAUAGGUGUGUAGAGAAGUUUAUGACCGGAUUUAGGAUAGAUGGCCGUACUAUCAAGAGGGGCAAACUUGUUUGCAUAUCGGUCAUCUAGUGCCACUUGAGCGAUCUAACUUUGCAUACGUGUUAGGAUCGAGUGGCGUGGCAAGUUGAGAGGCUAACUCCUUUGGGAAAUUGUUUGUGAAAAUGCUAACACACAUGCACAUGGUGGUGUACACUUGGUGGUGUUGGCACACUUUACAAAGGAGGUGGAGUUCCUAGGGUUGAGAGGCGUGUGGGUUCCUCUCUCCCUCCCGCCGAGCUUGCUCGGCGGGAUUCGACGCUUUUGAGAAAAUAAAGUGUAUAUUUUCUAUUGCGCCGGUGGGAAUUUUGGUGAAGUCGCGGGAGUGUUUUUCUCUCCGAGAAACACUCAACGGACGCUGAGUGCGGAGGCACCGGACGCUGGCCUCAGCGUCCGGUGUGCUUGACCCUGCUAGGGUUAAGCACCGGACGCACUCUGAGAGCGUCCGGUGGUAAGCGUCCGGUGUGAGGGGUUUUUGCAACCCUCUCUGCGCACGAGUCCGGUGAGCACCGGACCGUCCGGUGCCCAGCGUCCGGUGAGGUCGCGAGUUUGACACCUUCUCUGCGCACGAGUCCGGUGAGCACCGGACCGUCCGGUGUGGACUAGUUGAGCGUCCGGUGGUGCUGUGUCAGGCGCGAGCACGAGGUAGCCGUUGGCGGCAACGGUCGAGUUCAAACGGCUAGUGACACGUGGCAGUUAGCUGAGCACCGGACGCUGGGUGUUGAGCGUCCGGUGGCCACGUUUUUCGCCCAGUGAAGGGGCAACGGCUAGUUUCGCCCUUGGGGCUAUAAAUAGAAGUGGUGGCCGGCCUUGGCCGGUGCUGAGCACCCUUGGGACUUAGUGUCCAUGCUUGGGGAGUGCUAGGAAAGCCUCUAACUCACUUGUGCUUGCAAGAGUGCGAAUCAAUAGCGAGUGAGUGAUUCUAGUGCGUUGCAUUGAGAGAUUGCAUCGAGUGGCACUAGGUGUUCGUGUUGCAAGCCGGUGGUGCUUGUUACUCUUGGAGGUUGCCACCUCCUAGACGGCUUGGUGGCUUGUGACUCCGUCGAAGCAUGCAAGAAGAUUGUGCGGUGCUCCGGAGAAGAGAUUGUGAGGGGUACGGUGCUCACCCCGCGGGGAUCGCGAAGAGCAACUCUAGUUGAGCGAGACGUGAAGAGCGACAAGUGGUCCGGCCGGGUCAAGUGCUAGAGCUUGUGGUAAGCACUCCACGUGGGAGAGUGUGACUUGCGGGUCACCACUAGCAAGAGGACCGGCGGCAACCUUGGAGCUUGUCUCAACGGGGACGUAGCUUGGUGGCAACCAAGUGAACCUCGGGAGAAAAUCAUCGUGUCAACUUUGUUCUUCCCGUUGGUUUGCAAGUCCCUAACACAAGCUUGUAUUUACAUUCAUAUAUUUGUGCUUGUGUAGUUGCUCUUGUAAUUAGUUAGCUUGUGUAGCUUUCUAGGUACCUUCUUGCUUGUGUAGCUAGAAGUAGUUCCCCUUGCGUGACUAAUUUGGUUUGUGUAAUCUUGUUAGUCACAUUGCUUGGUUUGUGUAGCUAAGUAAGUUGCGCUCUCUAAUUUGGCAUUAGUUGCCUUGUUAUUGAGCUUGCUAGUGAGCUUAGGCUUUGUGCGAUUUGCCUCACUAGUUUGUGUAGGAGCUCCCCCGGUUUGCAAAGUACUAGUUGCAUAGGUUUGUGUGACCUUGCUCCUAGAAUUGAUUAGGUGAGCUCUUGCUAAGGUAGCACCUUGCUUGCUUGUUUAGGAUCUUUUCAAGGUGCUAGAGAACUUAGAUAGAGGGGUGUAGUCUUGGCUAGACCGAUAGCUUUAAUUCCGCAUUUGUUUCGGUUAGCCGGCGCGAUAAGUUUUAGAAAGGACUAUUCACCCCCCCCCCCCUCUAGUCCGCCAUCUCGACCCUUCACUUGUGGCGGUGGGCCAUUUCUCCAUUGCUCCACAUGGUACCUUGUACAUCUGUAUGGUGAAAGGUAGCCCGACCGGUUUGGGUACCCUGCAUCAACCACAUAAUACUUCCCUACACAUUUUCAAAGGCUCACAGUGAGAUAGAUAAACAAAUGUAAUUAGAUACAAGUUGCAAGACUGUUCAAGUAGCAAACCUGAUGGCGGAUGUGGAAAUUUGUGAUGAUGACUAGUUAUGGCAUCUUUGAAAACUCUCAUGUCGUGUGCUGAACCAGGCCAUCCCGACAACACAAAGGUAAAUCUCAUGUCGAAAUCACAAAUAGCAAGUACAUUCUGACUGGUCUCAUUGUGUCUGUUCAAGUAUGGAAUCCUCUUACUCUUAUCCACCACAACCUUCACAUGUGUCCCAUCUAUAGCUCCUAUGCACUCAUUGAAGUGUGGCUAGAAUGCUGGAUUUUCUAAAUUUGGAUGCACCUCUGAAAAUGUUGGGUCCUUGGGUUUAAUGUUGUGAUGUGCUAACCUAAGGAGACAUCUCAAAACUCUGUUAAAUGUCCUACUUACUGUCUCCAGAGACCUCCUAAAACGAUUAUCAGCCUGUCUAACUGACUGUGGUGCACCAACAAUCCAUAAAAACAUAGCAAGAGCCUCUACAGAUGUCAUUUCCUUAGUGGACUUCAACCCAUACCUCUCAACCAAAGUAUUAUGUAGCCUGUAAAAUAAAGGUCUCUCAACCCUAAACAAGUUGUAACAUUGGGUAUCUCGGGAUAGUGUCUCAUGCACCCAAUCCAAACCAGAAUCCCCAGUGACUCACUUAGGUAGUUUCAUGAAAUAGUUAUCAGAGUACAUACCCAAGAUAUGAACCAACUGCAGAAUCAAAUUUUGUUGCUGCAUCAAAUUGUUGUGGCACAUGGAUAUAAUUUCAUCCUCACUUGAGUUGCCUCCAUCAUCUUGUUCUUCCUCACUUGAGUUCCCUCCAUCAUCUUCUUCCUGCUUGAUUUAUGUAAAAAAAACUAUCAGCACAUACCAUAAAGGUUCAUGGAUAAAUUUAAAUAGGUUCAGCACUUGACAUCAUAGCUCAUGGAUAAAUUCAAGAAAUUAAUACUCCAACACUUGACAUCAUAGCUCAUGGAUGAAUUUAAAUAGGUUCAGCACAUAGCAUAAAGGUUUAUUACACCACAAAGCAAAUAGUUCAACGCCUCACACACAGAUAUAGGUUCAACACAUAACAUAAAGGUUUAUUACAGCACAUAGUUCAACGCCUCACUACUCCAUAUUGUUGUCAGUGCACCAUUUCUUGAAGUAACCCAACCUAAGCUCAGGAGUUAACUGGCCACAAAAGAACUCCCUUUGGUACUCUGUUGCAAACAACUUUGACAUAGCAUACACGUUGUCCACGGUUUUCUCAACGCCACACUCAAAUGCAAGCUCCUGACACAUCUUGACAGAAAAUGCAGCCUUCUCAUUUGCACGUUUCUGUAUUUGCUUAGUGUUCGCUGCAACAGACUCUUUGAAAGUACUGGCUAUCUCCUUCACAAUCUUGACCAUUGGGCUCUUGGUCCUCUUCACUGGACUGGUCAAAGUGCUUGUAGUGCUGCUGAAUGCCCUCUUGCCUUUCUGGCUCCUCUGACUGCUUCUAGUAGUAGGUGUUCCUUCAAACCCUUCCUCUUCAUUUUCUGUUCCUGCAUCUUGGCCCUCAUUGUCACCAUAAUCAUCUCCAGGAACAAAGGCUGUGGUUCCAUCCACAGUGUAGCCUCUGAAUAGUUCAUCAAGCAAAUCCUCGUUUCCUGGAGGGCUGGUCAACAACUUCUUUAGGUAAGGUUUUUUCUGUUAAGAUAUGAGAGCAAAAAAACAUGAUCAGAAACUAGUUCAGUAGAUUUUGCACAAUACACAUUUUACAAGGAAACACUAUACCUCUGUGUGUGUUUGCCAGAAAUCAUGAUCCGCAUCAAUAGAUCCAUCUGGUUUCCUCCCCAACCCUGUGUGCACUUGCAAGUACCGCCAGAAGGCAUGGGUGUUUCUGAGCACGCCUAUUUGGUUCUUCACUUGUCCACGGCUGUACACCAAACCCCUUCUAGCAAGUAAGCCAUCGACAACAGCUUGGUACCCUUCACCACUCAUUUGUGAACCAGUGUACGUUCCUGCUCUGCGUUGCUCUAUACACAAUUCUAACAAGCAAGCAUUAUUUGCAUCAUUCCAUUGGGCUCGACUGGAGUGGCUCACCGGAGGACCGCCGGAGCUCCCUAACUCCUCCCCAUCAUCCUCCAUAGCUGCAUCAUGGUUGAAGAAGGGAGUGCUGGAGGCAGUUGGUUGCCCACGGACGGCGCGAGUGCUCGUUGUGGUGCUCGGUGCCCUCGUUCCUCGGGGGCGAGGUCCGCUGGGGAUGCGUUGGCCGGUGCUGCCACGGGGCACCGUGUUGGCGCGCUGGGGACGCCGGCCUGGUGUUGCGGAGGCCGAGUUGGCGCGCUGCCGAACGACGCCGCCCGCCGAGGUUCCGCAUCCGCGACCGGCUGCCGCCGAGGAGGAGCCACCAAAUUGCAGUUGACGGGCGUAGGGUGCUGCCGGAGUCGCCGUCCUGUCUCCUGCUCCGACGCGUGGUGGGCGAUAUGGAGGGAGCCCGGUGCCCCUGACGCGGACAGGGGUGAGGUCGCUGUCGUCGCGGAGGAUGUCACCGUACAGCUGAAGCCCCGGAAAAUCCUCCUCCGCCGGCACUUGCGAGUUCAGGUCAAAGGCGUCGUGGCUAGACGACCUUCCCGGAACUUGCGAGCACCAGGAGAAGUCGUCUCCGUCCAUGGCGCACUUCUCCUGCAUAGAAGAGGCGACUGUUAGUACGAGCAGAGAGGGCGAGCAGGGUACGCGGCGAGGGCGACCAGGAGGAUGAGCAGAGAUGGCGCGGUCGAACCUCGGCGGGGGAACAGAGCUGCUGGCGGCGGCGACCAAGAAGAGGAUUAGGUUUUCCAGUGGCUGGUGGCGGCGGCCAAGAAGCUCGCGUGCGGCGUGCGGCCAGGAAGGGGAUCAGGUGUGGGCUGGAUGAGAACUAGCCCAAAUAAUCACCCCUUUGGAGGGAUAGUUUUUUUUAUGGGCUAGUUGCAAAAAAAAACUAACUCUAGCCCUCCUGUUUGGCUACUAUGGGCUAGUUGAGCCCAAACUAGCUCUUUCCCUAAGAUCCAAACAGGGCCAAUGACGAGGAGCUAGGGAAGCUGCUGGCCAGCGUCACCAUCGUGUACGGCGUGCUGGUGCCCAAGAAGAUGGAGAAAGGUGGUGGCGUCGGUGAUGGUUGUGGCCGUGUGAGCAGCUGUGAACGCGGUGGCAGAGCUCGAGCACGGCAAUGGCGAGUCGAGUGCGACGGCCUCACAGAGUAGCGUGGAGCGCCACCGCAGGCGGCACCGUGGCCGCGGCCGCGAGUCCCCGGUCACGCUCAUGGCUGACCACGAUGCGCUCCUCCGUUGAGGCAAAGCGCGCGGCCGCGGGCGCUCCGCCUCGCGUACACGCCGUGUAUUCCUGUACGCAUACGUGGCUUACAGCAGGGCCAUAUACACAAGAGGAGUAGAAAAUAGUAUAUGGAUUGAAGGAAAUAUAAAACUAUAAUAGCAUUUUUUUAAACAGUAUUCCUAUGUGUCAACCGCCGGUUAAUUUGGGAACGUCUCUCAACUGUUUUUUAGCCGUCGGAUGGCGUCUGAUCCGUUUACUCGAGCGAACCGCGUAGUUCCAAGAAUCUUGAGGGAGAUGGCGUUUACAAUUUGGGAUGGCGGAGUUUUUUUUUUUUUAACCGUGUCUAUGUCAAAACGAUAUUUUGAGGGAGUUGUUCCCUGGCCAACUAAAACACCUUUUGUCGUUUUAGAUAACGCCAGAUUGAACGUGUUCAUGUCCAUCGUGCGCAGAUGAUAAUCACCUCCACCUACCGGCGCGAGCAGUAGCCAGUUCGUGUUCCACGGACCACGAGUACGUGGCUACGCGCUGCCGCUGCAUGGCCUGGAACUGUAGCCCAUACUGAUCAAUCAAUGAAUUAGCAAGUGGCUCGAUAAAUUACUCCAUCCCUACUCGAAUAAUUCCAUAAUUUUAGAGUUAGCGUAAGUUAAACAUUUUUCAUUUCAAUCAAAUUUAUAUAAAAGGUUCCUAAGACUUACUCCCUCCAAUCCUAAAUAUCUGUCGCUAUUAGUGUGAGUAUCACAAGUUUAACUCGAUUGGUAAAAAAUACGUACAAUAUUUAUAUAUUUAAAUAAAUUUAUUAAAAACUAGAUUUAAAGAUCUUUUAAAUGCUAUUAAUUAUGUACCAUACUCCCUCCGUCUCUGAAUACUGCUUUUUCUAGGAGAAAAUUUUGUCCACAUAUACUGCUAUUUCUACUAGCAUACUCGGUCCACCAGCCCAUUUAAUUUCUCCUCGGAACUUUCGUGGUCCACCAACCCAUUUAAUUUCUUCUAGUGAGUAGUACUUUGGUGCAUGUUAAUUGUUUGAGUCUGUUUAGUUGGCAUUAAAUGCAGCUCGUUGGAACCAGAGAACCAUGGCUUAACGUGCAUGAUUAAAUGGUGGAACCCAAAUUAAUUGAGGGUAGAAUGGUCUUCUGAAAUAUGCUAGAAAUAGCAGUAUUUGGGGAUGGAGGCAAUACUAAAUAUUAAUAUUUUUUUAAUAUAUUUAGUCAAGGUUAUUUCUUGAGAAGCGCAAACGAUAGAUAUUUAGGGACAUGGGAAGUAUGAUACGAAAUCAUCAUAAAAUAUAUUUUUUUGUAAUAGGCUUAUUUGGUGCCAUAGAGAUUUGUGCUUGUUUAUAAAUUUGAUCACCAUAAAGCUAGCUUUAUAAACUGAUAUUUAGAGACAAAGGGAGCAUUGCUAACGCUAAAUCCGGUCACACCUAGCAAGGGCAGGUUCACUCACAGCACGCGCCACCGAUAAACGUGGUGGAGGUAGUCGGUCGGGUUUCACCAGGAUGUCAUGCAUAUUUAUUAUAACGUAAUGUCACCAAAAUUGCACUUUUUGCAUGAAACAAAGAGGAGAGAGAAGGAAGUAGUUUCACCAAUCACCAUGGUGAAACUCCGCAGGCGUUGUUUCCCACGCGGUGAAAUGAGAUGAAAUCUCCACUGAGGGCUAAAUCGUUUCACCAUCUUGCAUGUGAUCUAAUCAUUUUGCAGUAAUUAAUGCUUUGCCCAGCCUAGGAAACGUCAAGGUAAAACUCAUGCAUUGUGGAGGUUGUUUCAUUAUUCGUUUUAUUGAUGUCUUGUCAGUGGAUUUGUUUUGGAAACAGUGCAUUGAAACGAGCCACUGAGAAUGGCCUAAACUAACAAGGCCGUCUAGAGGUCGGUGAGGCCAAUUUGACACCAUUUUUUUGUCAAGGCCUAGUUUAGAUUUAAAUUUUUUUUGGAUUUUAACACUAUAGCACUUUUGUUUGUAUUUAACAAUUAUUGUCCAACUAUGAACUAACUAGACUCAAAAGAUUUCUCUCGCACUUUCUAACCUAACUAUGAAUUAGUUAUUUUUUUAAUCUAUAUUUAGUGCUCCAUAUAUGUGCCGCAAGAUUCAUGUGACGGGAAAUCUUGAAAAGUUUUUGAAGACUUCCCCGUCACAUCGAAUCUUGCGGCACAUGCAUGAGCAUUAAAUAUAGAUAAAAAUAAAAAUUAAUUGCACAGUUUGUCUGUAAAUCACGAGACGAAUCUUUUAAGUCUAGUUACUCUAUGAUUAGACAAUAUUUGUCAAAUAAAAACGAAAGUACUAUAAUAUUGUCAAAAUUAAAAAAAAAGAUCUAAAUGAGGCCUAAAAACAUGAUGGGGAGCGAGGUCGUCACCAAUAAGAUAAGAUUCGCGCGUCAUUAUUGUAUUAUUAUAGUGUACUGUACUUCCACUUCCAUACUUCCCCUUCCAGUAGUACUCUCUCCUUAUACGAUUUAAAUGUCAUUUAGAACAUUGACAUGGUCUUCAAAACAUAACUCUAAUCUCUUAUUUUUAUAAAAAUAUUUAGGAACAAAUAAUAUAGGUAUACUUUUAUAAAAAUAUUUUUCAAGAUAAAUCUAUUUAUAUAAUUUUUACAUUUGCAAACUCAAAAAUUUAAAAGUUAUUGAUGAAUUUGACUCAAACUUUGUCUAAAACGAUAUCUAAAUCCUAUAUAUAGAAGAAGUACGUAGUAGCUUACCUGAAGAUAUCAUUGUUGUCAGGCGGAAAUAAUUAACGACCUAGCAGUGGGUCUUGAUUACGUGCUUAAUUUAUAAGCACAGACAAAAGACAACCGAUCAGAGCUAGCACAUGCACAUGCAAUCCAUCGUAGAUUGACGUGUUUGGCUAGGUUUUCCCCCCUAAUUUUGUCUUCAUACAUGAUCGAUAUAUAUAAAUAUAUAGGGUUUUUUUGAACGGUGCCAUUACAAUUUCAAAGUAUUUGAAAUAUGCCAUUAUAAUUCAGGUAUCCUGAAGCGGACCAUUACAAUUCUUGCAAAAUUUGAAAUAUGCCAUUGGAUACGGUAGAACGACGCUUGGGCCUGCUUGCAAGCCGACGUGGCAUACGGUCGACCGUAUGCGCCCGUCGCCGUGAGCCAUCUAAACGGCGCGGCAAAAAACGCCGUCUCCACCCCGCCCCUGACUCAUUCUCGCUCUCCACCUCUCUCUCUCUCUCUCGAGCGUAACCCUAGGCGCGGCGGCGGCGGCGAUUCCGGUGCCACGAUCCCGACGGCGGCGCAGCAGAUGAAGAUGGCCUCGAGCUCUUCCGCUGCUGGCAGUAGAAGGGUGCAGUGCCCCCUACUGAACUGCCCAGUGUGCAAUGUUCCUUUGAUCCGAAUCGUGAGCAAGCAAGAGCACUCAAAGGAUGUCGCAUUCAUCAAGUGCCCAAACAACGUAAAGGUAACGAUUUGCAUUGUUUAUGCCCUUGAAUGUGCUGCCUUUGUUUUCAAUUUGACUGGUGUUGCUUGCACAGGGUGAUCCAACAACUUGUGGCUGGAUUCGUUCGGAGGAGCAGUACGAGGCAUGGUUUAUGAAGCAAAAGGAGAAAGAGAUUCAGCUGCAGUUGCCCCUUCAUUCAGCAGUUGGGGAUCCUAAUGAUGAUUUGAAUCAACGGGUCAAGGAGAUGAAGCAAACUCUAGAUAGAGUUGUCAAUGAACUUGAGAAAAUGAAGGUGCAACUUGGAGACAGAGAUGUUGUUGCUGUUCCUAGUCAAGUUAGUAAUCAGAGUCCAGCACUGGACUUGGACAGGAAGGGGAAAAUGCAAAUUGUGUUGGAUGUAUCUGUUGUUGUAGGUGUCCUUGUGGGUGUACUGCUAGGUGUAGGUUUUUCUCAGAUGAUGAAGUGACUGUAAUUAUGUGUAUUUGCAAUGAAAGAACAAGCAUUUUGUCACUGAGUUUCUUCGAUGAGUAUGAUCAGCAUUGUCCUAUGCCUUUUGUCACUGAAAAUAGAUUAGAAUUUCAGCUUCAAAAUAGAUUAGGAUUUCUGCAGCAGUUUGUCUUGUUUUCUUAACAUUUUAAGUAGAGUUCACAUGAUAAUUGACACAAGACAGAAGAGUACAAACUAACAUAAGUAGAGUUCACAUGAUUGAAAAUAGUUGGCAAGUUCUAAUGCCUCAUUACAUAGUAGCAGCAUCAGCCAUACAAGUUCCAAGUUGGCAUUCUAAUGCCUCAUUACAUAGUAAGGUUCAGAACAAAGCCAUAUAAGUCGAGCAUCAUAGAUCAGCAUCCUGUGGAGCAUCAUAGAUCAGGUGCCUGAUGCUGCUGAUAACAGCCUUCCCAGGUGCAGCUGCUUCCCUCUGCAGCUUUGUUUUCUUUGGUGUCUUCUUCUUCUUCUUAGUUGUAACCUUCUUCAGAGGCUUGGUCUUCUUCACCUGGGAAGGUCCAGCAUCAUCCUGUGUUGGUACUUCCUGCGUUGGAGCUUCCUGUGAUGACACUUGCUGAGUCGGCCUCUUUCUGCGUUGAGAUGACAGUAGCCGGUUAGAUCUUAGUACAUAGGAAAAAAAUAAUAAAAUGGUUAGACAAUAUUUUUAAUACCUUUUUGAAGACCCUUGUCCUCUUUCUCCAUCUUCACCUAGUUCUGGCAACUUGCAGGUCUUGGAAAAAUGUCCAAAGUCACCACAUCUCUUGCACCUAACUUUCUUCUUCGUGGCCCUCUGCUCAAAAGUCCCUCUAAUUCUUACAACCCUUGGCCUUCCUGGACCUCUGCCUAGCAAUGAAGGAUACACUUUAAAACCAAGGUUGACAACAGGCCAUUCAUCGUUGUCUGGGAUAGGCUCAAUCCUAUCAGCAUAAGCUGCCUUAAAUCUAGCAACUGAAUAGUACUCAUGUACAUAAUCCUCAAUUCUCAUCCCUGGGAUUGACAGUAUCCAAGCCAAAGCAUGCUUACAUGGCUUUCCAGUCACUUGCCACUGCCUGCAGGAACAAUUGUGGUUUCCUAGGUCCACAGUGUGCCUCCUUUGCUUCUCCCACUCCAGGAUUGUAACUUCAGCAGUGUUAUCAUCACUGACUUUGACCUUGACUACAUUGAGUUGAGUACUGAUCAGGUUGAGAUCCUUCAUCACAUUUGGGAGGAUUCCAUCUUCCCACUGCCUAGCAACUUUCUUCCUCAAAUAUCUCUUCUCCAUUAUAAGCUCUCUAAUUCUGUCUACCAGUUCAUGUAAUAAUAAACCUUUGAGGUGCUUCACCUGUGCAUUGAAGCUUUAUGACACAUUGUUGGUCAAAUAAUCACACUUGCUACUUUCUGAGAACCCACACCUGUACCAUAUCCUGCUGUGGUAAUUCUCAAUAUAUUCUAUAGCUUGAGGAGCAUACUCAUGAAUCUGAUUCAUGUGCCACUGGAAUUUUUCUUGAGUGUAACUUCUAGCUGCAGGAUAAAGGUGGUCUGUGAAUACAUCACCAGAAUAGUGCUUCAGAAAGUUUUGGUACAUAUGUCUCAUGCAUUCCCUAUUCUCAGCUGUUGGAAAAGCUGUACCCACUGCAUUCUCCAGGCCUUUGCAUGCAUCUGUACAAACUACAAGAUUUGGGACAGGCCCAAUUGCUCUACUAAGAAGUUGCAAGAACCAUGUCCAAUUGUCUUCAUUUUCUAUGUCAAAAAUGUCAUAAGCUACAUGAUACAACCAAUUAUGUCCAUCUACACUGGUUGCUGAAGCUAGCUGACCUCUAUACUUUCCAUUCAAACAAGAUGCAUCUAUACCCAAAAAAGGCCUACAACCAGCCAAGAAUCCAUCUACACAAGGCUUUAGAGCAACAAACAUUCUUUUGAAUCUGUUCUUCUUACCAAUUUUGUCAACCUCUACCACUACAGUGCUACCAGGAGAUACCUUUUCAAUUUGAGCACCCCAAUUGAAUAGCAGUUGAAAACUUUCCUCAUAUUUACCAUGGAUUUGAUCCAAUGCGCACUGCAUACCUGACCAAGCCUUUGAAUACUUCAGCUUGAUGCCAUAAUCAUCUUCCAACUUCUCCCUGCACUCUUUUGCACGUUUUGUUGGAUGUUUUUUUAUCCAAUCUGCCAGCCUAUCUACACACCAGGACUGUGAUGCCAUCUUCCCUUCUACUAGUUUUUGACUUGCACAAUUAUAAUCUGCAGGCAGUACUUUGAUCUGUGCAUACGAAACAUGUCAGGUAAAAAAAAUAAAACUUGCACAAAGGAACUAGUGGAUAGACAGUUACCUGUAUUGUCUUUCUACCCUACAGCCUAGAUGCAUGUAUGCGCCAAGGACAUCCCUCGGAUUUGCACUUUGCAAUAAAUCUUGAUGGGUCUGUUUUGAUACCAGCUAACACAUAGCCUUUAGUAACGGAGAAAUGCCUGAUAGCUUUCCUGAAUGAAACAAUAUUAGGAAAUAACUCCCCCUUUACAAUCUUGGGAUGUUCUGGGUCAUGAAUGAUAUUGAUCUCUUCAGGGUCUGCAUCAGUGACCUCUGCCUCAACAGGAAAAGCAUCAGCAUCAGCAUUUUCAGCAUCAUGAGAAGCAUGUGGAGGUGAAUUACUAGGAGGCUGUGUUGGUGGUGUUGGCAUGUACAUGCCCUCAUCAUCACAACCCACAUACUCCUCAUCGUUAUCAAACAUAUCAGGUUCCCUAUCAGGCUCAAGUUGAGUCUCAACUUCAGCCUCUGGUGCAACAUCUGCCUCAAAUGUGGGUUGGUUAACAUAACUGUCAGUACUGGCUGGGUUGCCAGUGCUAGUGUCAGGAGGAAGAUCUAGUUCAUCAAAUUGAUCAAUAGUGGGAACAGACUGAUCAAAUACCCCUACGACAAUGUGGCAAUGCAUCUCCUCCUUAUACAUCUCAAACAUAUCAUUAAUCUGGAAUUGAUUUUCUAGCAUGACAUCUUGAGACAACCUUUUAUCAUAGAACCAAGCAACUGGGCACUGAGUAGUAGAGCAAUUGACAGCAUUGCGCAAGCUGGCCAUCAGUACAUCAAAUGAAAACGAGCCAAUCUCCACAUCCCACUUAAUUACAGAGCCCUUUGUGUAAGCUUUCCUACCCAAAGAGUCUCUCCAACAGAAUGCUUCCACUUUAAUUUCUAAAGAAAAUAGCGGAACCCUAGCAUCAACCAAAUCACAUCAAUAUCUAAUGCCAAUCAACAGAUUAAGACCUAAUGCACUCGUAUUCGUGCUCUGGAAGGACAAAACAUUACCUUUCGUUGCUAUCCCCCAUCCGCGGCGCCCUGCGCUGCGCCCUGCGCGGGGGCACGUCUGCCAUGGACAUGCGCCCCUAUUCCAUUGCCUCCCCCUGCGCCGCCGUCGGGAUCGUGGCACCGGAAUCGCCGCCGCCGCCGCCGCCGCCGCGCCUAGGGUUACGCUCGAGAGAGACAGAGAGGUGGAGAGCGAGAAUGAGUCAGGGGCGGGGUGGAGACGGCGUUUUUUGCCGCGCCGUUUAGAUGGCUCACGGCGACGGGCACAUACGGUCGACCGUAUGCCACGUCGGCUUGCAAGCAGGCCCAAGCGUCGUUCUACCGUAUCCAAUGGCAUAUUUCAAAUUUUGCAAGAAUUGUAAUGGUCCGCUUCAGGAUACCUGAAUUAUAAUGGCAUAUUUCAAAUACUUUGAAAUUGUAAUGGCACCGUUCAAAAAAACCCAAAUAUAUACUUCCUCUGUCCCUUUUAUUUGUCGUCAGUGGUAUGCGUAUUAUAAAUUUGACUCGAUUAGUAGAAAAUACAUAUAAUAUUUAUAUCUUUAAAUAAAUUUAUUAAAAAACGAGAUCUAAAGGUCUUUCCAACGAUAUUACUUGUGUACUAUAAAUAUUGUAUAUUGAGAGUUGGCCUGGAGCAGUUGACUGUAGGGAAAAAAAAUGAAUUGCAAAUUGCAUUGUCCUAGCUAGCGUCCAUCUUUGAUUAUCCUUGCACAGAAGGUAAAUGAAUUGCAAAUUGCAUGGUCCUAGCUAGCGUCAAUCUUUGAUUAUCCGUGCACAGGUGAGAGGAUUUUUUUUUAAAAGCCUCUAGUCUGAAUAUAGAUAUAGAAUCUGCACUACUAUCUACGCUUCUAGCAAAAUUCGAACUCGUGAACGGUGGCCUCCACAGCUGGAGCGCUCACCAACCGAGGUACGGCUCGGUCCCCAGAAGGUUUGAGGAGCCAUUUUUCCAUGCGACGCACAAGUAGUACGCCCAUGUGUCCACCUCAAUAAUUUGCCGGACACGUCCGCUAGGCCGCUGGGUUGCAUUGCAUCGCAUCGCAUUGCAUGCCGCGGCAAGAUCCACGUUCCCGCGUACUACACGGUUUGUUCGAGACAUCCACAUCCACAUCCACAUCCUACCCCACAACGCGAUGAACAGGAACAGACAUGGGUGCUUGGUCCCCAUCUGCAAAUGCUCUGUACGUAUACCAGCUCGGCAACGCGCGAACCACGUGGAACGUGAACAGUAAACCAAGAACAGAAAAAGUGACCGAGCAGCGUUGCACAGUAUCCGCACACUGCUGAAUAGUGUUGGCAACGUGUCAACAGUGUGAUGAAUUAUGCUUAACAGUGCUUUGGUGCGCUGAGAGAGCAAGGAUUUAGGCCUGGUUUAGAUGAUUUUUUUUCUUAAUCUUGACACCGUGACACUUGUGUUUGCAUUUGAUAAUUAUUGUUCAACUAUAAACUAACUAGACUUAAAAGAUCGGUCUCGCAAAUUAUAAGUAAAUUGUAUAAUUAUUUUUUUAUCUAUAUUUACUGUUCCAUAUAUAUGCUAUAGUAUUUGAUGGGAUAGAGAAACUUGAAUUUUUUUUUGAUUUUUGGUUGAAGUGAACAAUGCGUUGUACUGCUUCCUUUUUAACUAGAUAUAAAUAUUGUCCAAUCAUGAAUUAAUUAGGAUCAAAAGAUUCAUCUCGUGAUUUAUAGAUAAACUAUACAAUUAGUUUUUAUUUUUUUUAUAUUUAAUGCUUCAUGCAUAUACAAUAAGAUUUGAUAUGAUGGAAAAACUUUAAAAAAAUUGGUUUUAAGGUACUGAACAAGGCAAGAUUGACGUCACAUGGUGGUCCAACAGACGUGUAUCACGCCGUAUCGGCCUCGUUUAAUUUCAAAAAAAAUUAAAUUUUUUGUUGCAUCAAAUCUUUAGACAUAUAUAUAAAGCAUGAAAUACAAACGAAAAUAAAAACUAAUUAUGCAGUUUAUCUGUAAUUUGUGAGACGAAUUUUUUAAACCUAAUUUAUCCAUAAUUAAAUAAUAAUUAUUAAAUACAAACAAAAUACUACCCUAGCCAAAACCAAUAAUUUUUACGAACUUGUUUCUUUUAGCAAGGCACACUAUAUCGAUCUACCUAUCAGCCGGGGACCGGGGUGUCUUGGCAUUGCCUAUUUGGAUCUUGUGGCAUCGCAUAUUUUUGCAGGCUUUUUAUUUGCAAACAGACACUUAAAUCGGGGGUAAUAUGAAAGUACAACAACAUCACCUUGCAUUGCAUUAUUGGCGGGGUUUUCUUAGGCUCGCCAUCAACAUUAUUAGGAUCAAGGGUUAUCAUCACACUUCAUGAAUUUUUUAUACCCCGAUGCUUUGAACUCAUCUGGACACGCUUCCAAGUUUUCGCACUCUCAUCGAGAUCGACGGUACAAUUAUCAUGUCAUGCAUCUAAAGCCAAAGGCCGUACUCUCAUUGAGGUAGACGGCAACAUUAUCAUGUGACAUGCAUCUAAAGCCAAAGGACAAAUGAUGAGUAUGUAUGUCGCACGAGGUUCAUGCAUGGGAGCAUCUUCUUUAUGAGAGGCAAAGACGUUCAUGCAUGGUAUCCAAUCGUCUUGUCACGGCUAAGGCCGUGUUUAUAUUGAAGAUGAAAAUUUUUUGGGUGUCACAUUAUCGGAAGAAUGUCGAGAGAGGUUUUUAGAUACUAAUAAAAAAACAAAUUACAUAGCUCGUCAGGAAACUGCAAGACAAAUCUAUUAAUUAUGUAUAAUUAAUCUGUCAUUAGCACAUGUGGGUUACUGUAGCACUUAACGCUAAUCAUGGAGUAACUAGGCUUAAAAGAUUCGUCUCACGAUUUUCAACCAAACUGUGUAAUUAGUUUAUUUUUUAUGUACAUUUAAUGUUUCAUGCAUGUGUCCAAAGAUUCGAUAGGAUGGAUGAAAAAUUUUUGAGCAGUGAACUAAAUAGGGCCUAAAAAAAGUUUUACUACAGCAACUCUAAGAGACUGGAGUAUUUAUGUUUUUCUUAAUUUAUAGGAGUACUCUCUCCGUCCACAAAUAAGUGUACGUUUCGUUCUCGAAGAGUUAAACUUUUUUAAGUUUGACCAAAUAUAUACAAAAACAAACUAAUAUUUUAUUAUAUAUAAUAUGUAUCAACAGAUUGAGCGUGAAAUAUACUUUCAUAAUAUACUUAUUUGUAGAUACAACUAUUGAUAUUAUUUGAUAUAUUUCUAGUCAAACUUUAAAAAGUUUGACAUCUCGAGAAGCGAGAUGUGUAUUUAUUUGUGAACGGAGGAAGUAGAAAUUUUGGUCAAAAAAAUAUCCUUCAAUAACCUAUAUAAUUAGAUCUCCAAAUAGAGACAAUCUCUUUUCCGAAAUUCUCGCUAGCCAAAGAUAAAGAGUAAGGAUAACUCAGAGUGUGCACAAUAUAUAGAAAAGUUAUUGGAGGCCAGGUACAGAGAUAUAUAGAAAAUAAUUUUUACUUAAAUGGCUCUUUAAAUAAUAAUUUAGAAAGUAAUUUUUACAAAUACUCUUGGAGAUACUCUCAGAGGCAGCUAGAUUGGAUUUACACUGCUUUGCCUGACUGUAUUUGUAUGUUUCUAAAAAUCAGCAAUUUCUAUCUCUGGAAAUCGAUUUGUACAAGAAAGGCAAAACCCGCUGCCCCUAGAGAUCAAAAUAUAGAGGCAAAUUGUUGGAUGAAAUCCUAACCGCCCCUAGAGAUUGGAAUCUAGAGGCCGGCAUGCGAAUGCAUGGGAUCAAACUCAAGACCUUAAGCUUUCUUCCUUAUCACUCCACCCCCAAAGUUAUUUCACUUGUGAUCUAAUGAUUGAUCCAUGUUUUUAUUCACUUUAGUGAGUAUUAUAAUUAAUAUUUUAGAGACCAUAAAUGAAAUCGAAAAAGUUUGAACCCAAAAGUUUUAGAUCUCGUGAAGUACUACAACUUUGCUUUAGGUCAUCUUUUUAUCGAAGUCGUUUGAAAAAAUAAAGAAUAUGAAUUUAAAAAUUAAAACAAAAUUUACAUAUCCUAAACAAUUUGAAAUGGAAAAAGUCAUCAAUUAAUAAAGUUUUCUUUACCUGACUUGAUUUGGAAAAAUUAUGAAUUCUAUUGUGUUGUACUAGUUUUUAGAGGCAGACUAAAUUGCCAACCUUCUCUAGAAAUCCAAUUCUAGAGACAGGUGGAAUUUUCAGCCAUCUAGAAAUGACUAAAUUUUUAAAGAAUGUGUCUAGAAAGCUCAAUUGCCUCUAAAAAUGGUCAUUUGAGGUGGUUGGAGUCCAACCACUUGUAACAAUUGAUUUUUAGGGAGACGGAUUGGCUCAAAAACUAUUUUUCAACAUGGUUCUUAAUAAUCUCCAACUAACAAGAAAGGGGCCUUCAAAAACAAUUUCUACAGUAGCGCGUCCACCUUCAACUGCUAAUAAGAAAUUAGACAUCCGACGUGUUUACGAAGAAGAUAAGAUUCGCGCGUCAUAUUACAUUAUUGGUACAGCAUUAUCUUACUGUUACGUACUCAUCUCGCCAAAUAAUUAACGAGUAGUGGCUCACGUUUGAAAGAUCUUCAGUCUUCAGUUCAGAUGGUCAGGCGGAAAAUAUUGACGGCCAAGCCCAAAGGGUCUUGAUUACGUGUUCAAUCCAGCGUUUAGACAAACGCAAUCCUAGCUAGUGCAGCACGUCGAUCUGUGGCGCGGCGUCCGGCCAGUGGUUUUUAUAUAUAUCGAAUCUCGUCUUCCAUCCCUAAAUCAACUGAUGCUAUGAUGGAUUGAUUGACGACUUGACUUGCAGGAAAAAAUGAACUGAUUGUCCUAGAGCUAGCGCCAAACUUUGGAUAGAUUCUCUGUUUUGCACGGUAGGUGAGGAACUGGACUGGACGUGCUUAUUGCCAUUUUUCCAAUGCGACGCACGAGUUCUGUGCUGUGCUGGGACGUACGCCCAAGUCUUUAUCUCCACACACGUACUCUGGACACGUCCAUUAGUGGUUGCUGCCAUGCAUGCAUGCAUGUCGCGGCAAGAUCCACGUUCCCGUGUGUACGAUCGUUCGAAAUGUUCCACGUCCUAGGCCUACCGCGAUGAAUGGGAAAUGUAGGGGCAACCCGAGAGACACAUGGGUGCCAUAUAUGCCCUUUUUUUUUAAUGAAACUGGAGGGGCCAAAGCCCCUACAGGUCUUUAUUGAAGAUAAUAAACAGAGGGUACAGAGUUAACCAAAAAAAACACAACGAAAAACUGAAAAGAAAACUGAAACUAAAAAAAGAGAGUUAAAAGACAAAGAAAGAAGCCAUAUAUGCCCAUUCGGUCUCGUCUGGGUCUCUGGGAUGUGUAUUUGGUUAAACCGAGAACUGAUCGGUGUGGUUUCUCAGUAUAUAUAUUUUGUUUGUAAUAUGAUUCGAUUAACCAAAAAUGAAGUCCGCCUUAAAUUUGUGUGCAUAAAGCAUUUGGAGACUGAUCGGUGAGGUAGUACCGAUGAACGCACCAAAAGAUCGAUCAACACAAAUCAGAAAAAAAAUUUAAGCACAAAAUUGGCAGGGAUCCACAAAAAUUACAUUAAAGAUCAAUACUAAUAAUUUGUGCACAAAUCAAUAUAGAUUUGUAUGAUUGAGUUUGUGUGUGGUUCAGCUUCUGAAAAGCGUUUCUACUACCAAAAAGCAGAAACCCAACCAAAUAGGUGGAACUAGAAGUUGGUUUUACAAAAGCAGAAUCCAUUUGUGUAGUAUAACUUUCGCAGCACCUUAGACCCUGUUUUUGGCUUUUGGCCUUUUGCUUUUCAAAAUGGUGGAAAUAGAAAGAUAUUUCAUGGUUGUUUCAAGGGAUAGAAAGAGAGGGUAAGUUUAAUAGUUGUUUUAACCAAACAUCUGAUCGCCACAAAGCUGACAACUUUUUCAUAACUCAUAGCUCACAAUAGUUUUUCCACAACUCACGGCUGAACCAAACAUAGCAAAGUCAAAGAAGAGGUUAGCCGCGACUGCCCUUGCCCCUUGCGACAGCCAUGGUUGUUUCUAAACCAUAAAUUACAAAACAUAUUUAAAUAACCAUAAAUUAUGUAUAAAUAGAUGUUUUUGAACCACACACCUAUCCUAUCCUAUCCUAUCCUAUACUCUUAUAAAGGAAAACUCCACUACCAUAUUUCUCUAUGAUUUUAUAAAGCCACGUCAUCAUGGGGGCCCUACCAAUUUUCUUAAGCCAUAUCACCCGAUGGCCACCACCCUCUUAUUCUUAUCCCAGUACUCACGCAAAGGCUUUAGCAAGCCUGCACGAGGCCAACAAUCAUUUGCCUCCUCUAUUCCUUCAGAACACGAAGUGGACAGGCAUUACAACAAUCGAGUCAUGUCCACUGAAUGUAGCAUGCACCCCUACAUCUUCCCUGCCAUCACUGCUCAUCUGUUAAGUGAUCGUAUAUACAAUUAACCCCAAGUAAGGACGAGUCCUCGCCAAACUUACCACCACUUCCUCCCAGUUCGAUUCAGAUCUUGAUAGCUUCAAUUGGUUCUCUCCUGUGGCAUCGGCAAUCAUCCCGCGCGGACGUCCUCUGGAUGCCGCGGUCAGUGCUGAUGCAGAGGUAGCCGGGGAAUUCACCAUUGCAUCAUGCGGCCAUGGAGGAGCAGUCCCGCCCAUCCACCUCCGUGCAGUGUGAUGCCCGAGAUGGCCACGAUGGAGGCACGUCGAGGUGCUCCAACUCAGAGGUGUGCAUGCUAUUGCACUCAGUGACUGCCUGUAACCUCUCGCGCUGACCGGCGCUGAUGCGCGCAAUGCUCCUGCAGGCCGCCACUGCUGCCGUUCUUGCCUGUGUCCUCCAUGCACCGCCCACAGGUGCAGCCCACUCAUCUCUGUGCUGUGUAUUAACUCGCAAUAUAUACUCUCAUCCACACGUUAGUGACCCUGUUCUCUUUUGAUGAAGUUAAAGAUUGAAGAUCAGAGUGGUGCCUCUCUGCUGUUUUGCGAGCUAGAGUGAUGCCUUUUAUUUAGUUCAUUUACGAUGGACUACUGAUGCAUAUUUAAAUCAAAUAUUAGUAGUCAUGGUACAAAUAUAUCCCCCUUGGUCCGACAUUUAAUUUAAGUUCAUAUAGUUUUUUGUCUUUAGUCACCGCUGACAAAUUUUUUAUAAAUUUGUUCUCUACUUAUAUCGCAUAAUAUAAUUAUUUAUAUACCAUCGCAAUUCCUUACACUUUAUUUCUCCUAACUCAAUUCAAAUAACUUUUGCAUUUCCGCAGCAACACGCAGGAGAGUUCACCUAGUAUUAAUAUGUUAAAAACUAACUAAGAAGACGAUGAUAUUCCUAGUGCUUGAUAUUCAUUUGGAGUAAGUAAUGAUUAUAAGGCUCAAAUUACUCCAUCCUAGAUUCACUGUAAGCUUUAUCACGAUCUUGACCAACAUGGUACAUGUUUCGAUGACCUUGAUGCCAUGGUACUAUUUAAGAGCACAUGGUCUAGAGCCUAAAAUCUUUUAAUUUUAUAGAAUACAAAAAAGAGAGUUAAUAAAAAAAAUAUACUUAUCACAAAUGUUUUAACUUAAUUCAUCAUAAAAUUUUUUUGAUCCCGUACAACUUAGAUGCACACAACCCACACACUCACAACACAUGGGUACUCUGCUUUUUAUGGAAAAAAAAAUCAGGAAGCACUCUAGCCUCCAGUGUCGAAUGUGCAUGUACCCUACUCUUUAUGGAAAAAAAAUCUAGAAAAUAGAUAUGAACACCAGGGUUUAAACCCUGAUGGGUGUGUCUCACUGGACUGCCCUUACACUAGACCAUAGGCCCAUUCACAUUCGGAUAAAAAUUUGUAGUAAAUAGUAAUAAGAAAAAUAAAAAUGGAUAUCCAUGAUGCUAUGAGAUAUGGAUUGUAACAUGAGCCACCAUAAUUUAAUAUAAGAUUUGAACAAAAUGCACACCGAAGAUACAAGCAAGUGCCAGCAGAGAGAAAAAAAACUACGAAUUUAGAUGAAAAAUAUAAACAAAGAUAAAAGUGUACUCCCUCCGUACCCAUAAAACAAGUCAUUUUGGAUAAGGUUUGGGUCAAACAUUGGGAACGUAAAUCAUAAAUAACUUUUAAGUUAUUGAGUUUGAAAAUAUGAAAACCAUAUGAAUAGAUUUGUCUUCAAAAAUACUUUCAAAAAAUAUAUCUAUACCACUUUUUGAUAAAUAUUUUUAUAAAAACAAGAAGUUAAAGUUAGACUUUGGAGACCGUGUCAUUGUUCAAAACGACUUGUUUUAUGGGUAUGAAGAGAGUAUAUAUUAACGUAAGUAUUUUUAGUUAUAUAUAUUAAACAUGAAUAUAUAUCUAAUGCUUAUGUUAUGACUCAUAAGAUUUAAGUCUGUACUUGUGCACGAGUUGGUAGACUAGAGGGUCCUGAGUUGAUUUUAGGUUCUGCUCCAUUCAAAAAAUAUAAGUUGUUUUGACUUUUAUUGGUUUUGUUUUAUAUUUAGACUUAUGCUGUGUCUAAUGCAUUGUGAACUAUAUGUAUUACUAAAGAAGCCAAAAUAGCUUGUAGUUUACUAUGGAAUAAUUAGCCAAAGUUUUUUUCCACCCACACCAAACCUUGCAAUGGAUACACCAUGUGACCAGGAUACUCGCUUCAUUAUUGGGAAACCAAAAGGAAAUAUUACAAGCAUCCAUGAUAAGGGCUUAUUUAGUUGGGGAGAGAAAAGUUUUUGGAUGUCACAUCGGAUGUUUCGUGGGGUAUCGGAAGGGAUAUUCGGAUACUAAUAAAAAAAUUAAUUAUAUAACUUAUCUGGAAACUGCAAGAUGAAUUUAUUAAGUCUAAUUAAUUCAUCAUUAGGCUAAUCUUGGUCUAACUAGGUUUAAAAGAUUCGUCUCGCGAUUUCCAACCAAACUGUAUAAUUAGUUUAUUUCUAUCUAUAUUUAAUAUGUGUCCAAAUAUUUGAUGGGAUGCAUAAAUUUUUUUGAGUAAAGUCCACCACCGGUCCUUAAACUUGUGCUGUCGUGUCAUCCCGGUCCCUAAACUCACAAAUCGAUUGUUUAGGUCCUCAAACUUGUUCAUCUGUGUCAUCUCGGUCCCUAAACUUGUUCAAUUGUGUCAUCCCGGUCCCUAAACUUAGAAAUCAUCCGUUUAGAUCCUCAAAGUUGUUCAGUUGUGUCAUCUCGGUCCCUAAGCUUGGUUUUGAAUCUCAUCUGGGUCAAAACAAAGCGAUCUAACAACUCUAUAUCAAAAAAUAAUUCAUAACUUUUUCAUAUGAACUCAAAUGAAGACAAAUUUUAUACCAAAGUUAUAGUCCUCAGCACAAUCUACAACUUUGUAGUUGAAAAGUUUUUUGUUUGAAGUCGUUUAGUGUUAUAAAAUUUAAUUUUAAAUUUUAAAUUUUAAAAUCUAUAAACUUAUAAAAAAUAUUUUGGGAACUUAAACGAUUUUAAUUUAAAAACUUUUCAACUGCAAAGUUGUAGAUCAUGUUGCUGCCUACAAUUUUGAUAUAAAGUUUAUAUUCAUUUGAGUUCAUAUAAAAAAGUUAUGAAUUAUUUUUCAAUAUAGAGUUUUUAGAUUCGUCCUGUUUUGACCCAGAUAAGACUUAAAAACAAGUUUAGGGACCGGGAUGACACAACUGAACAAGUUUGAUGACCUAUAUGAGAGAUUUUUAAGUUUAGGGACCAGGAUGACACAACCGAACAAGUUUAGGUACCUAAACGGUCAUUUUGCAAGUUUAAGGACCGGGAUGACACAUCCGAACAAGUUUAGGGACCGCUGAUGGACUUUACUCAAUUUUUUUGAUGGAGAACUAAACAAGGCAUAAGUGGUAAUCGCCAGCACACCAAGGAGUAUGGCACAAUGUUCGUCGCGCACGUAAUUAUGAAUCUUUUAUUUAUUGCAACGCUUCUCAUUCAUGGAUAAAAUGAAACGGAUAACGUACGGGAAUCACCGCUAGCUAUUCCCUGCCUGCAUUCAGGUCAUCAUGCUCUGUCCUCAGGAAUCAGAGAUCAGAUGGAGAUGCUGUUGGGUAUGCCCUUGGCGGUGACGCCGGCGUUGUCGCCCUUCUUGUCGGAGGUGUUGGGGAAGAGCAGCGUGUAGGGGAACUGGGCCUCGCUGUAGCGGUUCUUGUAGCGUGGGUCCUUGUUCAUGGCCUCCACGCGUUUCUCGAUCUCGACCAGCCGCGCCCCGAACCGCCUGAACGCCUCCUGCGCCUUGGCGUCCGACGUCCACUCCUUGGUGUCGCGCUGGCCGAGGUACACCUCGUCGGAGGAGUGGCUGGACAGGAUCUCGAGCAGCGAGAUGCCGACGACGGCCUGGAACUGCGUGGUGAUGGAGCGCAAGAAGAACUUCUCCGGGUUCUCCUCCAGCUCCGCGUACUCGUCGGUGCCUGGCACCGGCAUCGGCCGCCGGCUCACCGACGGCCGGUUCGGGUGGUACCCGCAGUACGGGUACUGCCCGAAGUUGACGGCGGCGUGGAGCGCCGACGCGAUCCAGAUGAUGGUGGUGCAGGCCUUGACGAGCUCCGCCACCGUCUCCAUCUUGGGCCACCAUGGCUCGUCCUUGAGGUCGGCGUGCCCGACCUCGCGCGCCUCCUUCCACCAUGCCUGCAGCUCCACGUCCGCCUGCAGCACGCCGUCGUUGGGGUAGUAGAUGCCCAGGUACUCCGUCACCCACUGCUCGAUCGCGUGCCAGACGGCCAGCCCGUCAGACGCGUACGGGUAGUCCUCGAUCAGCAGCCGCACCUUGUACGGGCUCGACGGAUCUGGAACGGCCAUGCCUCUGCAUUGACAUUGCAGCAGGACAGGACGAUUGUUGAUUUAACUGUUACUCCGUAAUUAUUGUUAAUUGCUUCGUCGAUUACCGUUUGAUGAGGUCGUCGGGGAGGGCUUGGUCGGCGAAGUUCCAGGUGGCGUAGACUUUGGAGGUGAUCUCGAUGGCGUACUUGCGCGGGAAGACGGUCAUCUCGAAGAUGCCGCCGGCGUUGAUGAGCUUCUGUCGAGCGAGUGCGUUGAUGUUCAUGGUGUCGCGGUAGUGCGGCAGCAGCAGCCUGUGGACGGGGUGCGUCACGCUGAGCUGCCGGUUGGUGGCGAUCACGAAGGGCUCCAUGACGGCGUGCGUGUUGAGCCAGUGGCUGACGCCCUGGUGCCAGCAGUAGUCGUUCACGUUGACGUAGGCCUUGGCCAGGCGCCACACCCACGCCUCCGCGCCGGCGGCCGUCGGCGGCGCCGGCGUGUACACCGUGCUCUUCGCGGCGGUGACGUCCCGGACGAGCUCGGGGAGGCUCAUCUCGAUGGCCACCGGCGCGAGCGUGCCGUUGCCGCGCAGGAACAGGAGUGUCCGGGUGGCGUAGAUGAAGUUGUCGUCCAGGCUGUUGACCUCGAUCAGGAACGGCAUGUAGUGGUCGUGGUGGUCCAGGAUGUAGAGCCGGUUGCUGUCCAGCGCCUCCUGCACGGUGAGGCCCUCCAGGCUCCCCGCGAUGUGCGCCUCGGUGAUGGUGCUCGUCUGGUCGCCGUACUUGCUCGGAUCAAGGGUGCUUUUCGGAGGAAACUCCUGUUUGAUGAUCAUCCAAGACGCAGGAUAAUAAUGUUACUACUUGGUUGCCAUGACACUGAAAUCAAGCAAGACCGCCCAUGGUGUUUAAUUAGCUAGGCGCGCCUCCACAGUCCAUCCACUCACCGUCAGACGCCUGAUGAUCAGGGGGUUCACGCCGGCGAGUGUCUCCCUUGCGAACUCCUCGUCACUCAUCCAAGCUUUCUUGUCCUCUGCAUUAAUUUACAGGUAUGUAAGGGACAUUUUGCCCAAGCCAGAAAUUAACGAUGAUUCAUCAGCGAUCGAAUGCAAUUUAUUAAUUAAAACCUUUGAUGAUUUGGGGCAUGGGGAGUUUGAGGACGUAGUCGCCGCCGGCGGGCAUGAGGUCCUUGACCAUCUGAAGGGGGAACUGCUUGCGGAACUCCUCGAGCGCGGGGAUGUCGGGCAGCUUGAUCCCGCCCUCGUACAGCUGCAGGAUGUCCUUGAAGGAGUUGAACUCGAGGCCGAGGAAGUAGCCUUGGAGGAUGGGCACCAGGCCGUCGGCGAACGCCUUGAUGGUGUAGCCGUAGAAGUCGGAGUUCUUGAUGUGGCCGAACCGCUCGUCGCGCGGCACGUAGACGUCGCCGUCGACCAGCGUCAGCCUGCUCUCGCUGCUGGGGUCUGUCAGCGUCGGCUUCCGGCCCGUGCGGCCGCGGCGAGGGUAGGGGUGGUCCUUGGAGCCGCCGAGGACCGGGCGCGGGUUCCCGCCGUCGGGGUUGCCGAGGUCGUUGUAGACGUCGUAGCGGUAGACGCGGUCGUGCUCCUGGUAUGGCCCCUGCUGGUCGUCGCCCCUCAGGUUCCGGAGCUCGUCGUCGCGGUAGGGCUUCAGCGCCGCCGGCAUCUGGCUGGGCAGGUACGUCUGUUCGUGUGUAGAGGAUUCAUGUCAAGAGACAGGUAGCUGAAGCUCCUUGGUUUGCUGACGAACAUUGCAAUAAUGGGCGGCGCGGUACUCACGUCGUUGGAGAAGAAGACGCGGUUGUAGCGGUACUUGGACUGCGGGUAGAUCCAUGAGUUGGCGACGAAGACGACGGUGCCGUGGCCGGGGACGUCGUCGAGGGUGAUGGUCUUGAGGAAGAACUCGGAGGCGUGGUUGUUCUUGACGAUGAUGGCGCCUGGCACGCCGUGCUUCUCCACCUCCCAGUCGAAGGUGACGCCGAACUUGUUCUCGCCGGACAGCAGCGGCGGCGGUUGCAGCAGCCACUGCUCCAGGCUCGCCUCCGCGCCAACCUUCCCGCGGUUCCCGUUGUCUGCACGCGCCGGUCAGCGUCAGCGUACGUCAACGUGUAAAUGUACCCCUACCGUAGAUAUUAUUAGUAAUAGUAGUAUACUAUAAAAAGUAAUUAUGCGUUCUUUGUCUAAUAAGCUCUAGAUCCGGCCGGUUUGUACUAGAUUUAAAGUGGCUCGAUCAAUCGGUGUCGUUUUCGUCCAUGAUUGUGUCAAGAGCAUCCGUAGUUUUACUAGUUUUGUCGCUUUCUUUUUUUUUUUUCUGGAAACACGGCAUUGUUAUUAUUGACGCAUGUGCGAGAACAGUGUGAGGGAGAGAGGGAGGGGAUGGUGCUCUGCUCAGUGCUCACAGGGGUCGACGACAGUGGAGCUGAUGAGCUGGCAGGUGACGCCGCGGCCGAGGAACUCGCCGACGCCGUCGAUGACGGCGCCGGCCAUGCUGGUGACGUCGAAGCCGAGGACGGUUUUGCGCAUGAGCACCACGUUGCCCUUAAGGUGCGCAUUCUUGUUGCUGCCCGUGAUGUCGCUGAUCACCGGGAUCUUUCCAAUGUUCCCGAACAUCUUCGAUUCUUACUAGCUACUAGCUGUGGAGGACUGUGGGUACACUGUGUGUGUGAGUGAUCGAUGAGCGAGAAGGCCAGCUAUUUAUAGAGCGGGAGACGAUCGAGCUGGGGCCUGGGGGGCCGGCUCAUGAAGAUAAGACGUUGAGCAUGAUGAUUCCAGAUAAAGCAAUGUGUCAACUUCAGUAAAACUACUACGAUUUCGAGAGCCUAUGCGCAUCGGCGCAUGUGAUGUGUUCAAGACUCUGCUGUGACUGGACACAGCGUGUGUAGAAUAGCGCGUGUAUAUAAUUUAUACAUAUAAUUUAUACGCAUGAAGUUGAUGUAUAUCUUCAACGUGAUGAAGUUAUACAAAUAACUUAUACAUAUAACUUACUAUGCGACAAAGUUAUAUGUAUAACUUUUAUGUAUGAUAUUUUGCAAAACGAACUUAUCGACAUAAUUUGUUAGAAAGUUACAAAAAUUUUACACAAAACUUCUAUAUAUAACUUGAUAAGUGACUUAGAUGUAAAGUUGGAUGUAUAAGUUAUAUUCAAAAACUUGUAUGUACAAAUCAAUAUCAUAACAUAUUAGUAAAAAUAUUAAAACUACAUGUAAGAAAAUAAUUAUGAAGUAUAACUUGUUUGUCUAUUAAAUUGCAUAUACAUUGUGAAAGAAGUUAUUAAAAAAUUUAUGGUGAUAAGUUUUGUUCUGUAAAAUGUUAUAUUAAGCAUAAAUUGUAGAAAUAAGUUAUGUCCACAAUAUAUGUACAACAACUUAGUUACUUUCUAAAAAUAGAAAUUUACAUAUAUUACUUUUUCCAAAUAUAGCAGCUGAUCACUAAUCCAACGAGCAACAGCCAGAAUGGAAUUGGGCACCUAAACUCAUCUAUUGAACGGCAAGCAAGAUCUUUUUGAAUCUAUUUUUCUCCACCUAUUUGUUUUUACAAAGCAUAUUAAGAUUUCGAAAAGUUUUUAAAGGCGAUCAGUACUUUCUUAUCAAUACAUAUCAAUUGAUAUAGACCACAUUUUAUUAAAAGAUAUAAAGGUCCUCUGCUGGUGGUUUUUACAGCUGAUAAGCCGACUAAUGUUGUUUUGUUAUGAGAAAAUAACACUUUAUCAUGACUGAUAAACAAAGCUGAUAGGUUUAAGCGAACAUGGCGACUUUUCUCUUUCUUCACUUCUGAACAAUUUUAACAUAUAAUUCUCCGUCUCCAGCAAGACGAAGCUUCUUUGGAAGCGACUAAUUUUAGAUUUAAAGGUUGAGCACUCUAGCAAGACUUCCUCCCCUCGUGAGAGCACAAAACGGGAGUCUAAUAGUCACCGAUAUAAAGAUGAUUAGGCAAAAAAUAAAAAAUAAAAAAUCUGUGCAUGUGUGGUGUAGAUGAGUCCGGUGCAGCACCUCACCUCAUAAUUGCAUCUGCUUUGGACGGUUGUGAUGAGGUGCUGCAUUGUUUUUCUUUUCUUUACCAUUUUCAUAUUUUUUUCUUUUGUCAGAUAGGGCUUUCAUUUUGUUUAUUCUGACAUUUUACAGUCGCGCUCGUAGCAACCACCCACAAUAAAAAAAAAUAUUCAUAUUUUUUUCUGCACGUAUGGUGUCCGAGACCCCACGUCAAGCACUGCGUAUUUUAACUCGGUGCCAACUUUCCAUUGGAGUAGGACAAAUAAUGGUCGAUCCAAUCGCUUAGGGUUGCGUCAUUUCAAUUAUUCAUUGGGACAUAUGGUCAAGCAAGGGAGGGUGCAUGUCAGAGUUAGGACCUGAAAUGGCCACCGCAUGGAGAAAGGGGGGAAAGUGUCCAGCUUCGCCUCCACUGCCCUCCGCCAGUGUGGUCAAGGAUAUGUUUGUAAGCAAAAGUGAUAUACGAUAAUGAUCCUGUGAAACACACGGAUAGCAUAAGGCGCGGUGUGGAUUAUAUAGCAAGUAACCUAAAUCUUUCUGAACUCUAAGUUGAGUUUUCAAUUUGUCCGAGAUGCAUACAUGUUACAAAUCUAUACAACCUACUCCUCAAGGGUUGACGUCUCAGAGCACGUACUCUACUUGUAGUUCAUACUAGUACCUCCAAGUUCCUACUGUAUAACUUAACACCUGAGGUCUUAGGGUUCAAUUGACGGUUCCAAAACUUCAUGGCGUGCCAUCAGGAAACAUUAUUUUCGUGAUUCAGGUAGAUCGUUAAAUAAAGAGAAUUAUAAUUAUCUUGAGUGAAUUAGUCGAAAGACAAAAUUUGCUAGCGGACACUAAAAGUGGAGGUUGUUUUCUGACGAACACAAGACACUUUCGUUACUGACAAUUAUAUUACCGGACACCACGCCACGUAUUUUAUUUAUUUCUAUCCGUUGAGGAGAGAGAAAGGUUGGGAAAUAUCAUUUUGGUCCCUAUCUCUUUCUUCUUUCUCUCUCUUUUAUCUUUAGAGGCAGUUUAGGUCUUGUUUAGUUCAUCCAAAAUCUAAGAUUUUUUCAAGAUUAUCUAUUAUAUCGAAUUUUACAGCACAUGCAUAAAGCACUAAAUAUAGAUAAAAACAUAACUAAUUACACAGUUUGUCCGUAAUUCGUGAGACGAAUCUUUUGAAUCUAAUUAGUUCAUGGUUAGACAAUAAUUAGUAAAUACAAACAAAAGUGCUAUAGUAUCCAAAAUUAAAAAAAAAUUAUCAACUAAACAAGACCUUAGAUAGUAAAAUACAAGUAAAGCUCUAGUUUUGUGUGUGAGAAACUGAGGACUGGGGUAAGGAGUUAAGGACUGUGGGCCGAGCACAUGCUGUCACCCUCGUCUAUCCGCUGCCUGUGCCCGGUGGCCCCCAUGAUGCAUGAAUUGUUGCAGCCUUUCGUCAUCGUAGUCAUCAAUGAUGGAUGGAUUAAUAUUUUUCAAUAUUGCCGUGCGGGCGUGGCAAUAGGCAUCUGGGGGAGCUUUCACAUCCAUGUCAUCAAAGUUGCUAGAUGCUGCUGGUCUGUCAAAUGGGUACAGUACAUACUGUACACUCACAAUGUAGACUCUAUCGUAGAGUCUAAAUAAGAUUUGGAGUCUUAGAGUCUAAAUAAGACUUGGAGUCUUGUUUUUUCUACCUCUUUCUUCAAUAAAUAUGCUGUCGUAUCAGCAAAAUCUCAUAAAUAAUAUGUAAUUAAUUGUCUUAGACUCUAUGAUAGAGUCUUGCAUUGUGAGUGCUUUAGGACAAUCAAGUGCAAGCUGCUCGUGCGUGGAUCACGUUGUGACUCGUAAUAAAUCGCCGCGUCGGUAGGUACUUGUCCAUCCGUUCCUGUACAUAUAUUGUUUUAAUAAUUAUACAUCUAGAUAUAUUAUAUAUUUAAAUAUACAGCAAAGUCUGUAUAUCUUAAAAAAUCAAAAUAUCUUACAGUUUAAAACAUAAGGAGUAGAAAAUACAAGCUACACGUGCUCCGCCCAUACGGUUUCUCUAUUAUUUUUCUAAACUGAACAAACUUUUGUAAAUUUAAACAACAUUUUUAGGUGUUCUGGAAUAGGCCUGGGGAUUGGAUUGAUUAUAGAAACACAAUCACAACACCUUUGCUAUAUAUUGUGAGGAUCUCCAACAAAUCCUUAAAAAAAUAGUCCCAGAAAACUGACUUUUGAAAGAUUGCUAAAAUUUAUCGAGAGAAAAAACCUAAUAUACUCCAACAAUUCCUAUGACUUGUGAAAAAAACAAAUCAAAUUGCUGCCACUUCAUUUCUAUAUAUGGGCCAUCUCUUAGUGGGCUCUUCAUUCAGGCACGCGCCUGUCAGACCGUGGCGUAUGCGCUGAACUGACUGAACCCACCACCGGAAGUAGUGGCGCCGCGGCGCAACCAACAUUCCCAGUUGCCACCGCGCACCGCGCACCCCCACGCCCACGCAACGCAAGGAGCCAACUUGUAGCAUCAGACUCCCGCAUGUGCCGUGUGCUGACACUUCGCAGGCGGCGAAAACUACACCAUGCGUGUAGCUUAUUUUCUGCCAACCAUUGCUCAUUCGACUUGUUCGUUUCGCUGAUAAAGACGAGGCAACGCAACGCCCGCACGCACCAUCAUCGGCAUGCAAUCUUGCGGCACGCUGAUGAUUGCCUUUGCCGAGAAUCUGGGUAGCCUCCGGUCCGGUGGAACAACAACCAGACCGACGAUGCACCGGCACCGUGCACGUCAUAGUCUCGCGUCUGCCGGCGGCAUAUGCCAAGUUACUGUAUGGGCCAACCUCGCCGACGGCGACAAUGCGAAGCGCCGCCGGCCGUUGGCCCGUUGUGGUUGUGGGUGGCCGUGGCCGAUGCAAUCGACGACAGAUGCCUCGCCAAAAACACACUGCAAAUCUCAACCACGAACCUUACCUUACAUAGAGAACCAGAUGCGUCACUGUUGACGUCGACUCUGAUUUUGCGCCAAUGGUCGAUGAAAGCUACUACCAGGAACACGUGGCGGCGUGGCGAUGACAUGUCAUUUCCGGGAGACUGUCGAGACGACCGUCAGGACGUACUGUAGCAUGUGCUGCGAUUGCCAAUUCCCAGCACCAACAGAAAAGCACCGGAUGAUUUUAGAAAUGGGAAACGCCGAGAAGAGGCCCAAAGGCAGCAAAAGAUUUGGUUUCGCUUCUGGCUGUUGGCUUUAUUCGCUGUUCGCCGUUCAUCAGUCACCAUGUGAGAGACGAUUCCGGCUUUGCCUGGUGCUGUACGUGUGCUGUGAUGAAUACAGUGAUGCGCUACCGUACCGCCCUGUAGGAAUCAUGCCGUUGUUUUCUGGCCGUCUAAUGAUCAACCUGCAGAAUGUUUUUGAGUUUGAUAACAUCUCUGUGGACCGUGGUCUUGGUAUUUGUCAGCUACCAUGUGGUUUUCUCACAUACCUAUUGACGUUAGUGGAGUACUUCCUUUAUAUAAGUGGAGCAAAGCGAAACAUGCUUGUUCACGCUUCGAAUUUUUUUUAUAAAAAAAAAACUGUCGUCUUCGCUGAAACCAACUUGAAGAGGCCUGGAUGCACAACAAUAUACUACUAGCGUCUAAACAAACAAGAUUGUUGCAUAUACGUAUCACAAUACUUCACUAGCUUCACGUCACGUUUAUAACGAUGCAAGGAUCUUCACAGCACAAACUUCCGCAUAUAAUACAGAAAUGAGCAAAGUGCAGGCGAUGGAACAGCAAUCGUAAGGACAGACUUGCAGAUGCAGCGUAUAUUCCACAGGUGGCAGAUCAUGCAACAGCUCAGCUACCGUUUAGCACCAACCAGAGAGCGCAUGCUUCAAGCUGAUCACAUGUUGGGAUUAAUUUCUCUGAACCUCAAUCAAUACACACAGGCGAAUACAAAACAAACAAAGCUGAUCAAUGAAGCCCCAGUGGCCCAGUUACAUAACCAUUCGGCAGAUGCCGCCAGUGUGCUCUGUCUGUGAAUAUCAUCUCUUAUCAGGACCAGAUACCACAAUUUUAAAUGUAAACCCCAAAUGCAAUUCAUUCACCAACUGAACAAAAGUUCAAAUGAUUUUUUGUUUUUAAAAAAUAUGCUACAAUUAUGGAUUAAUUAUUUGAUCGUAUCAAAUGCAUUCUUAACAUAAAAAAAAAGCUCUGCUUAUUGCAAGUUCUAAAACAAAACACCCUUUCACAAGGGGAACUAGGGCAAACAAAAAGGGCAGGUAAGAUGGAGCACCCGCUUCUUCUGAACCAGAUCAGCAUACAAUACAAUUUGCAGAAAGUCGAAGCUAGUGAAACCAUAGCAAAUACGAUUAUCUAUGCCUUCUCUAUUAGCUGCAAGACCUCAGCUUCAGUGGGCAGCGACGGGAUCGCCCCCUUCUUCGUGGUGGUGAUUGCUCCACACGCGUUAGCGAAUUUAAUAGACUCCACAAGUUUCUUCUCAUCCUGUACAGUCACCAGAUACCAAAUUUCAACCACAUGGUAAAACUGAAAACUGAAGGACCAGAUUCACAUGUAGAACCAACAAUUUUUCAGAUCAAAGAACAAAUUUCAGGCUACAUACUUGUAGUGAGGAUGGAUCUUUAACGAUCCUUUGGAGCAGAGCACCAACAAACGCAUCACCUGCGCCAGUUGUAUCAACUUGUUGUACUUUGAAGGAAGGGACAGCUCCAUGGAAAUCCUGCAAUCAAACAAAGUAAACUUGUGUGAGUCUCAGCUGCACAUUAAGUCUUUCACCGUUACAUAUGCUAAAAGUGUACACUUUGAAUUUGGCAAAGACAGGAACUAGUGAAGUUCAAUAUAAGCAGCCCGUGACUAUUUAGCAUCAAUAACACAUUUUCAUAUGAAAGCAGCAAUCACAAAGUUAUAAAAGCAUACCCUGGCAUAGUACUUGCAUCCUUGAUCUCCAAGAGUCACUAGGAGCAGCUUCAUGGUAGGUCGCCACAGCUUCAUGACAACAUCGUCCUCCACCGAGUCGAUGCCUGUCAAGAACUCAAGCUCGACUUCACUGACCUUGACAAUGUCUGCCUGGUCCCAAAUGCUCAAGAUCUGGGUGCGGGCCUCCUCACGGGAUGGCCAUAGCGCCUCCCUCAGGUUUGGGUCAUAAGAGAGCAGUGCACCGGCCUCUUUGGCAAUCUCCAUGGCACGGAGAUGUGCCGUCCGGCAAGGCUCAGCAAUCAAGCUUAUUGAUCCGUAGUGAAAGACCGCAGCCUGUAUGUAGAAAAUACAACUCAUGAAGAUUUUAUUUACCCAAACAGAGGGGGUGGUGAGGGGUGUGGGAUGGACAAUGUGAUGCUUAGUGAACCAAUCUGAGUCAUUGCAUUAGUUCCAGUAAACUCUACAAAUGACAGCCUUUUUUUAACAUGUUUACAGAAAGCAUAAAAAAAACUGAAACAUCUAGCACACCUGAUACGUGGUAAUUCUAGAUUUAGUUCAAGUUCUUGGUGUAAAGAAAAUGGAAUAGUGCUAAUCCAAAUUCUAGAUUUAGUUAUGCAUUUACAUCUUCAAUGGAGCAGGAGAAACUGAAGUAGUACUAUGUCACGUCAGUUGCAAUUAUUGACCCACCACAAAGAAACAAAAUUCCGGCGUGGACUCCAUUAAUACACGCCAUGGCUAAUGAUUUCUACAAGGCCAGCUCACGCCGAUGAAGAUCCAAGAAGCACGGGGUUUGACUAGUUUCAUAACGGCUCUCCUUUGGAUUGGAUUACUACUACUGCUACUACUUGUCUGUCUCCCCGCAAUUUUUAGGAUGAAUCACAGAAGCCACAUGACCAGAUCCAGAAAAGAACAAUUCGCCAACUAGAACGCACAACAAGAUCCGACCAAAACCAGCAAAGAAAGGCGCCCACUUUGGCCCCGGAAUCUUUGGAUUCCACGGGAAGAUUCAACAUCAAAGACCCGAAUUAGACGACGGGAAAAAAAGGAUACCUUUUAUUUUGAACGUAAUAAACAAGAACAGGCCGGCCCAAGAAAAUUAGAGACGCCGCAACCUAAACCGCACGCGAAAUCAGCGCAAGAAACCUAGCGGUCGCAUCCAGAUCCCACCCGGGAUCGAAUCAAGAAAUGGGCGGAAAGAUUGAUACUGUACUCGACGGGAUCAAUCACAAUAAUAAGGCCGUGCGCAGAUCACGGGGGUGUGAAGGGAGGCACGGGGAUCGAUCACCAAGGAAAGGAUAUCAGGGUGGCGUGGCGUGGCGCGGCUUAACUUACCCUCUUGAUGAGCUCGACGUUGAGCUCGUCGGCGGUGAGGAGCAUGUCGGCGCUGGGGUUGCGGUAGAACAUGAACUCGCGCUCGCCGUCCGCGCGGAGGGUGACGAAGGCGAGCGCGGUGCGCGCGCCGGCGUCGAAGACGACGCCGCCGUCGUCGACGCCGUUGUCGCGGAGGAUGGCGGCGAGCAUGCGGCCGAACUCGUCGUCGCCGAGCUUGCCGACGAAGGCGGCCCCGCCGCCGAGGCGCGAGACGGCGAUGGCGACGUUGGCGGGCGCGCCCCCGGGCGCCUUGAGGAACGCCGGCGCCUCCGCCAGCGAGACCCCCGCCACGGUCGGCACGAAGUCUAUCAGCAUCUCGCCGAAACUCACCACCAGCUCUCGCCCGGCCGCCAUUGCUUGCGCCUCGCGGUUGCCGCCCCUCCCUAACAAACACAACGCACGGACGCAGAGGUCGGGUGUGGGUGGGGAGAGAGGACUAGAGGAAGGGAGGUGGGCGCGUGUGGGGAAUUUUCUGGUGAGGUGGCGAGGCGGCGUGUUUUAUAGAGGAGGGAAGGGAUGCCUUGGCUUGGGUAGGGGGGUGAUGGCGAAGGCGGAUGAGAGGGAGGAGAUGGUGGGGUGCGGCCGCGCGGGGUGGCGUCACAAGGGGAUGACCGGAGGCAGGUGCGCUGUUGACGGCUGCCCUACUUCGAUCGGUUAGCAUUUUGUUUAGAACGUACCAAGAGGGAACCAUGCCUUGCCGUAGAAUGGUGCGAGUGAAGCCUAACAAGGAUGAUUUUGGAUGUUGCAAUAAAAAUAACAUUCGUAUGCGUAGUAAACGUGGAAAUUAUGGAUAAAAGACGGCAUUAUAUUGCAACAAAUUAGGCGUGUCUAUUGGACUUUCUAUUUUACCUAAACUUGUUAUUGUUGCCCUUACUAUAAAGCCUUAUGGAUAGACUUAGAACAUUUUUAUUAUUUUAUAUAAAAAGUGAAUUAAAUCUAUUUUUUGCUCGGUUGCACUACUUUAGCUACACUCAUUACUAUAAUACAUGAGCUAGUUGCAGCUGCAGCUCAAGUAGCGUAGCUGCCUAUUAGAGUAGGUACAAUAACUUGUCGAAUUGCUCAGCACAUCAGCGAAAGUAAUGACAUGGAGGAGAGAGGGCACACGAGACAAGCUAGCUUGUCGCAGCAAUCGUCGAUCAGUGGUACACGCCCUCUAAUAUACGUAACAACUAAGCAUUCAAUAUCAUUUGUAUGUUAUCUUGCUCUCUGCUCCACUAAAAUACUGACAGGUGGAAGAGAUUAGUAGAUUAAAGAAUAAUCAAUUGUUUGGAAAUUUAAUCAAAAGACAAGAAACCUACCGUUAUUGUAUGAAUUAGUUGUAUGGUGCUUGUCUUAUAGAACAAGAAAACUUAUCUCAACAAUUGGCCUUGCUCUUAGGACCAAACUUGUUAAUAGGAGAAGUAGAGAACCAUAAAGUAUGUGGGAAGUUUGUGAGUGUACGUGAAAAAUAUGGCUACCAUAGUCUUGGCUGCGUGGUUCCUCCCUUGAUGACUCCACAUAACAUCAAUUGCUCCAGCUCAUCCGUGGAGUCAGCUGAAGCUAACGUGUUGUUGGCAAAGCACUCCAUCGCACGUAGGAGGAGAAAAUCUGUUGCGGCCAUGUCCACCUGGAGCAAUGUAGGACAAAACAAAGGGUGAUGCCACCAAGGCCUCGAUGAGUUCCAUCGUCCACGUGGAUCCUCCUAGCUGUCCCACAAUUGGACCCAGAUACAACGAGCUAAUAAAGGGGUCUCAAUUUGGUCACGAUAGUUUUUUUUUAUACGGGCACGAUAGUUAUUAUGGUAGUAAAGUUUAUCUGCGUGGUCGAUACACUUGUUUUUGUCUAUUUAGGGCUUGUUUGAUAUCAUUUUCAUACAUAUUGAGAUUCUAGAUUAAUAUUCCGAAUUUUGUAGAGAAAAAAGGUAAGGGGUAUUUGGAUCUCAUUUUGAAGUGAUUACUGCUUUUUGCAUAGUAAAAAUCUCCAAAUAUUAGGUUUGGAUCUCAUUCUAGAAUUCUAGUGUUUGGAUCUCAUCCUAAUUCUCAAUUUUGUUAGGAGAUCGAAACAAGCCCUCGUGGUUCCCACUGUAUGGAUCUCUGUUCCUGGACUCUACCAUAAACAUGCAAGUGAAUUCAUAGUUUUUUCGGUAUGUCUGUUUACUGUGAUCUUGGGUUGAUUGUUAGAUGCUUGCAUAUACUCCCUUUAUUCUAUAAUAUAGUAUAUUUUAAAUAUUUUAGGACAUGUUAAUAGAGAACAAAAAAUAUGUAUGUAUCAUCACUUUGUUUUCUAAUCGGAUGUUUAUUAUCAAUAUAUGAUUAAUGGUGACUGAUUAAUAAAUGACAAGUAACAAUAUACUACUUGCCAAAUUUAUGCAAGUAAUUUAACACAAUACCCUUUUUUGUCUUGAAUACCUUAUAUUUAAGUAUAUUUUUAGAUGUUUGAAUACACUAUGCUACAAGACAGAGAAAGGAGGUGGGGUUGAUGUCGAUCGGAGCCCUUCAUUUGUUCACUAAUUAAUAUUUGGCUUGGCGUUGGUACAUACUGACAUCUGCCAUCUCCCAUCUGCAAUAACAAUGUUGCUUAGAGCAUCAAAUAAUUAGCCGCUGCACUUGCACAUUGGAUAGACCAUUAUCAACCAUUGUUGGGAGAUAUUAAACAUGAUAUUAUGUGGAACGAAAAUAAAACUAUCGUAACUCUCUAGGUAGGUAGGUAAGAACAACUCCAACAAAAAAAAUUAGAAGGGUUUUUCUUUUAAAGUUUGUCAGUCAAAAUUAGUCAAAUUAUGAUCUCUAAUUUUCAUUUAAGGGCUUCUUCUUCUACUUUCUAGGUUUUUUUUCUAACAAGUGGGCAGAAGAGCACCCUACCUAUUUUUUUAUUUUUGCAUCUUCUCUAGCUGGAGCCCUCAAAUCCAUUCAGUAGACAUUGAUAUAUGGUAUCUACUCAUUAUUCCCCUAAAAUCCAUUCAAUAGACAUUGAUAUAUGGUAUGUAGUCAUUAUUCUCUAUUCUUCUCCUUCCUUGCUCUCAUCGACUACGCUAUGCACAUUGGUGUCGGGGCAGAGGAGUCAUGCCUCCAUGAUAGGGGAGACGAUAGAUGGGAGAGGAGCCUUCAUUGCACCAGAGGAGGCGGCAGGACGGGAAAGGACGGCUCUAACAGCCUUGGACCUUCAUCCGGUGACACUACUUCUUCCCUAUUUAGAUGUACACGAAGAUGUAGGUGGUGGCGCGAUUGGAGGGAGUAGAGUGAUGGAGUGGGAGAGAGCCGGACAAAAAUAAAACAAUGCAAUGAAGCAAAUUGAGUCAAAAAUUUUCCUGUGAAAAAAUAUAGUAGGAAGCUCCCUAGACACCAUCGGGAGAUGGGCUUGAGGGGAGAGAUUUGUGUGGCUCCAUAAAGUAAGGGCAUGGUUGUU
rnacentral:lncRNA from 1 species